AACGCUGGCGGCAGGCCUAACCCAUGCAAGUCGAGCGGAUGAAGGGAGCUUGCUCCUAGCUUCAGCGGCGGACGGGUGAGUAAUGCCUAGGAAUCUGCCUGGUAGUGGGGGAUAACGUCCGGAAACGGGCGCUAAUACCGCAUACGUCCUGAGGGAGAAAGUGGGGGAUCUUCGGACCUCACGCUAUCAGAUGAGCCUAGGUCGGAUUAGCUAGUUGGUGGGGUAAAGGCCUACCAAGGCGACGAUCCGUAACUGGUCUGAGAGGAUGAUCAGUCACACUGGAACUGAGACACGGUCCAGACUCCUACGGGAGGCAGCAGUGGGGAAUAUUGGACAAUGGGCGAAAGCCUGAUCCAGCCAUGCCGCGUGUGUGAAGAAGGUCUUCGGAUUGUAAAGCACUUUAAGUUGGGAGGAAGGGCAGUAAGUUAAUACCUUGCUGUUUUGACGUUACCAACAGAAUAAGCACCGGCUAACUUCGUG
rnacentral:rRNA from 1 species